rnacentral:tRNA from 1 species
GCAGUGGUGGUUCAGUGGUAGAACUCUUGCCUUCCAUGCAGGAGGCCCAGGUUUGAUUCCUGGCCAGUGCA